GAUGAACGCUGGCGGCGUGCCUAAUACAUGCAAGUCGAGCGAACGGACGAGAAGCUUGCUUCUCUGAUGUUAGCGGCGGACGGGUGAGUAACACGUGGAUAACCUACCUAUAAGACUGGGAUAACUUCGGGAAACCGUAGCUAAUACCGGAUAAUAUUUUGAACCGCAUGGUUCAAAAGUGAAAGACGGUCUUGCUGUCACUUAUAGAUGGAUCCGCGCUGCAUUAGCUAGUUGGUAAGGUAACGGCUUACCAAGGCAACGAUGCAUAGCCGACCUGAGAGGAUGAUCGGCCACACUGGAACUGAGACACGGUCCAGACUCCUACGGGAGGCAGCAGUAGGGAAUCUUGCGCAAUGGGCGAAAGCCUGACGGAGCAACGCCGCGUGAGUGAUGAAGGUCUUCGGAUCGUAAACCUCUGUUAUUAGGGAAGAACAUAUGUGUAAGUAACUGUGCACAUCUUGACGGUACCUAAUCAGAAAGCCACGGCUAACUACGUG
rnacentral:rRNA from 1 species